rnacentral:rRNA from 1 species
CGUGUAGGCGGCCUGCCAAGUCGGGCGUGAAGUCCUCUGGCUCAACCAGAGAACUGCACCCGAAACUGGUAGGCUUGAGUGUAGGAGAGGAAAGCGGAAUUCCUGGUGUAGCGGUGAAAUGCGUAGAUAUCAGGAAGAACACCAGUGGCGAAGGCGGCUUUCUGGCCUAUCACUGACGCUGAUGCGCGAAAGCCGGGGGAGCGAACA